GUGCUCACUUCGGCAGCAUAGCUACUAGAAUUGGAACAAUACAAAGAAGAUUAUCAUGGUCUCUGCACAAGGAUAACACACAAAUUCAUGAAGCUUUCCAUAUUUUU